rnacentral:rRNA from 1 species
AAGGGCACCACAAGAACGCGUGGAGCAUGUGGCUUAAUUUGACUCAACGCGGGAAAUCUUACCGGGUCCGGACACACUGAGGAUUGACAGAUAUACGCUGCGUUGCUGCACCUUCGGGUGUGCACGUGGCUCAAAGAUGCUAGUUCUUUCAUGAUUAUGUGAUAGGUGGUGCAUGGCCGUUCUUAGUUCGUGGAGUGAUCUGUCUGCUUAAUUGCGUAUCAAUAAUAGAGACCUAGUAUACGCGUAUUACUCAUGUGGUAGUGACCCCCUUCUCACGGAGGCGCGUGUCGCACAUAUGGUAUACGCACUGGUCUCAGAUAGCAACGAACGUGACCG